rnacentral:rRNA from 1 species
CCUACGGGUCGCACCAGUGGGGAAUAUUGGACAAUGGGCGCAAGCCUGAUCCAGCCAUGCCGCGUGUGUGAAGAAGGCCUUUUGGUUGUAAAGCACUUUAAGCGAGGAGGAGGCUACUUAGAUUAGUACUCUAGGAUAGUGGACGUUACUCGCAGAAUAAGCACCGGCUAACUCUGUGCCAGCAGCCGCGGUAAUACAGAGGGUGCGAGCGUUAAUCGGAUUUACUGGGCGUAAAGCGUGCGUAGGCGGCUUCUUAAGUCGGAUGUGAAAUCCCUGAGCUUAACUUAGGAAUUGCAUUCGAUACUGGGAAGCUAGAGUAUGGGAGAGGAUGGUAGAAUUCCAGGUGUAGCGGUGAAAUGCGUAGAGAUCUGGAGGAAUACCGAUGGCGAAGGCAGCCAUCUGGCCUAAUACUGACGCUGAGGUACGAGAGCAUGGGGAGCAAACAGGAUUAGAUACCCCUGUAGUC